CAAACGGCCCUCUUUAGGGCCACAAGUUUCAAAUGAACGCAAGCG
rfam:Globodera pallida, Lindley, WGS project CBXT01000000 data, contig: pathogens_Gpal_scaffold_216_contig_7